GAAACCAACAGGGAUUGCCCCCAGUAACGGCGAGUGAAGCGGCAACAGCUCAAAUUUGAAAUCUGGCCCCUAGGGUCCGAGUUGUAAUUUGUAGAGGAUGCUUUUGGUGAGGUGCCGCCCGAGUUCCCUGGAACGGGACGCCACAGAGGGUGAGAGCCCCGUCUGGCUGGCCACCGAGCCUCUGUAAAGCUCCUUCGACGAGUCGAGUAGUUUGGGAAUGCUGCUCAAAAUGGGAGGUAUAUGUCUUCUAAAGCUAAAUAUUGGCCAGAGACCGAUAGCGCACAAGUAGAGUGAUCGAAAGAUGAAAAGCACCUUGAAAAGAGGGUUAAAUAGUACGUGAAAUUGUUGAAAGGGAAGCGCUUGUGACCAGACUUGGGCGCGGCGGAUCAUCCGGGGUUCUCUCCGGUGCACUUCGCCGCGUCUAGGCCAGCAUCAGUUCGUCGCGGGGGAAAAAGGCUUCGGGAACGUGGCUCCUCCGGGAGUGUUAUAGCCCGUUGCAUAAUACCCUGCUUUGGACUGAGGACCGCGCAUCUGCAAGGAUGCUGGCGUAAUGGUCACCAGCGACCCGUCUUGAAACACGGACCAAGGAGUCGUCUUCGUAUGCGAGUGUUCGGGUGUCAAACCCCUACGCGUAAUGAAAGUGAACGCAGGUGAGAGCUUCGGCGCAUCAUCGACCGAUCCUGAUGUUCUCGGAUGGAUUUGAGUAAGAGCAUACGGGGCCGGACCCGAAAGAAGGUGAACUAUGCCUGUAUAGGGUGAAGCCAGAGGAAACUCUGGUGGAGGCUCGCAGCGGUUCUGACGUGCAAAUCGAUCGUCAAAUAUGGGCAUGGGGGCGAAAGACUAAUCGAACCUUCUA
rnacentral:rRNA from 1 species